AGCGAACGCUGGCGGCAGGCUUAACACAUGCAAGUCGAGCGGGCAUCCUUGUGGUGUCAGCUGCAGACGGGUGAGUAACGCGUGGGAACGUGCCCUUCGGUUCGGAAUAACUCAGGGAAACUUGAGCUAAUACCGGAUACGCCCUUUUGGGGAAAGGUUUACUGCCGAAGGAUCGGCCCGCGUCUGAUUAGCUAGUUGGUGAGGUUAUGGCUCACCAAGGCGACGAUCAGUAGCUGGUCUGAGAGGAUGAUCAGCCACACUGGGACUGAGACACGGCCCAGACUCCUACGGGAGGCAGCAGUGGGGAAUAUUGGACAAUGGGGGCAACCCUGAUCCAGCCAUGCCGCGUGAGUGAUGACGGCCUUAGGGUUGUAAAGCUCUUUUCUCCGGGACGAUAAUGACGGUACCGGAGGAAUAAGCCCCGGCUAACUUCGUG
rnacentral:rRNA from 1 species